rnacentral:rRNA from 1 species
UACGUAGGGUGCAAGCGUUAAUCGGAAUUACUGGGCGUAAAGCGUGCGCAGGCGGUUCGUUGUGUCGGCGGUGAAAUCCCCGGGCUCAACCUGGGAAUGGCCGUUGAAACUGGCGAACUGGAGUGUGGCAGAGGGGGGUGGAAUUCCGCGUGUAGCAGUGAAAUGCGUAGAGAUGCGGAGGAACACCGAUGGCGAAGGCAGCCCCCUGGGCUGACACUGACGCUCAGGCACGAAAGCGUGGGGAGCAAACAGG